ensembl:lncRNA
AUGAUAAAAAACAGAAAUACACAUGAGCCAUUAUUACCUACGGAAGAAAUAACAAAUGCGAUGAACGCAAUUACUAAUUUUAAUAUACAUUAUGAAGAAGAAAAAAAUGAAAUGUUAAAUAGAAUUACAGAAUUAGAAAAUAAAUUAAAAUUAAAAAUGAUCGAAACUAAUAAGUUAUGUGAACAAUAUGAAGAUAAUAUAAAAUCACUUUUAUUAGAUAGAGAUGAACGAUUGAAGGAUUGUGUAUAUAUGUCAGACGAUUUAAAAAAGAAAAAUGACGAAAUUGUGUUAUUAAUGAAAGAAUUAGGUGAUAAAAAUAUAGAAUAUAAUGAGUUACAGUUUAAAUGUAACUUUUUAGAUAGUGAAGUAAAAAAUUUAGAAUCUACAAAACUAACAUUAAAUGAAAAAUUAAUGGAAUUGGAAAGGAACCAAGAGGAACGUAUUUCUUAUUUUAAGAGAGAAAAUGAAUAUUUAAAAGAAGACACAGUAAACUUUCAAAAUGUACUUCAACUUAUUGACAAUGAGAUGAAUAAAUUGAAAGACGAAAUAAAUGAAUUACGAGAAGAAAAAUAUAAUUAUGAAAAUAAAAUUGAUAAAUUAAAAGAAUUGUUAGAAGAAGAAAAACGAAUGAAUGAUAUGUUAAAAGAUAAUGAAAAAAAUUUUGUAAAAGAAAUAAAUGAAGCACAUCAAUAUGCAAUAAAAAAAGAAGAAGAAUUAAAUACGAUACGGAUAAAUGAUGAUAUGGAUAAAAAAAAAUAUAUAGAUGAAAUUGAUUUUUUAAAAAAUGAAAAUAAAGAAAUUCAUAAUUCGUAUAAAAAUAAAAUGAAGAUGAUAUCUGAAUUAGAAUUACAAAUGUUAGAAUAUAAAGUGUUAUUGGAUAAAAAUACGAGUAUGAAAAUGUUAAUUCAGGAGUUGGAAAAUAAAAUAGAUGAAUUAUUAAAAGAUAAUGAAAAAUUAUGUGUCGAUUUGAAGAAAGAAAAACAUUUAAGUGAAGAAAAAGAUCGAACUGUGCAUAUAUUAAAUGAAAAUAUAAAAAAAAUGGAAAUCGAAUAUUAUGAACAAAAUGGAUCAAUUAUAAAAUUGAAAGAAGAAAAAGAACAAUUACAUCAAGAGAUAGGUAUUUUAAAAAAUUGUUAUAACAAAAAAGAUGAAAUGAUUGAAAAGUUAGAAUUUAAUUUGAGGAAAGCGGCUUUUGGCGAUGUCCAAUUAAGUGAGUUAGAUAUCGAACGUUUAGAGCAGAAGGUGAUAUAUGCAGGUAAAGAGGAAGAAGAUAAUUCCCAAUUAAAUGUAAAUGAACGUGGUGAUGGUUCCAUUUAUGACGAUGAGGGGUUGUUUAAUAGUCAAAUAUGUAUUUUUAAUAAUACGAAUGGUAAUAAUAUGUACAGUAACAAAGAUGGUACAUACCACUCAAACAACUAUAUGAACCAAAAUAGCAAACAACAAAUGAAUCAAAAGUUGGUAGAAUUAAAAAAAUAUAGUUUAUUUUUGAAAGAAAAAAAUGAUACGCUAAAUCAAGAAAUGCGUAAACUAAUGGAUAAAUUGUCUAUAGAAGAAGGUAAACAAAAUGAAGUAGAUCGAAUAAUAGAAAGAAGAGAUGAUAUGAUACGCAACUUAAACAAUGAAAUAGUAAAUUUUAAUGAAAAAAUAAAAACUUUAGAAAAUAAUAUGAAACAACUAAAUUCGGAGCUAUAUGCAGCAAAUGAAUUGUUAGCACUUAGAAGUGAUGAAUGUAAGGAACUUUCGUUAGAGUUAUGUGAAGUGAAUGAUGUGAAAAAUAAAAUAAUAACACAAAACGAAGUAUUAAUACAACAAGUGGAGUUUUAUAAACAACAAAUAGAAGAAAAAUCAUUUCUUCUUGAAAAUGUGGAUAUACAAAAAAAAAUGUCAGACGAUCAACAAUAUGAUAAAAACAGAAUUAUAAAAGAGUAUAAUAGAAUAUUAAAUGUUUAUUAUAAAACAUGUUCUCAUAUUAUUUAUUAUAAAAAGUAUAUUGACAAGGAGUUAAAUGAUUCUAUUGAUAUUCAUAGUAGGUAUGAUAUGAGUCGUAGUGGUACAGGAGGUUAUGAUUCUGCAUACCCCCAUGAGAGUGAUAAAAAUGUUGGAAAACAUAUGGAAGACGAACAAAAUGAAUACGAAUUUCUUAUAGAAUCAUUAAAUAUAAGCAGUUUAUAUAAUUCUAAUUCUACUCCUAACCACAAUAACAAUAAAGAUGAUAUAGUUAACAUAAACGAAAGUAACAUCGGUGAAAUAACAAAAUAUGUAAAUGAGUUUUUAAAAAGUGUACGACUUUUAUUAUAUAAAAAAAGGAUAUAUACAACAAAGUUAGAAAAUAACGAAAAGAGAUAUGCUAGCUUUAAAGAGAAGAUGAAAAAGGACAGAGAUUUGAUAAAUGAGUUGAAAAAGAAAUUGAGAGAAAAGGAAGAGUUAGAAUUGAUGAAUGGUACUAUACAUAAAAAAGGGAAAGAUUGGUAUGGUAAAGAUGAACAGAAUAGGUUGAACGUACACGGAUCACAUGUAUCAGCUGAGGGUCAUAACGAUUCUUCUUUGGCUAUAUAUAAAGAAUUAAGCUCUAGUAUAUACAAAAACGAAGAUAGAGAUAAACUUUUGGAUAAGAAACAGAUUGAUAUGUUGCAUUACGAAAUAGAAAAAUUAAAAGAAGAAAACAAAUUUUUAAACAAACAAGUAAAUAAUUACAUGAAAUUACAAAAUAGUUUAAACGAAAUUAAGAAUAAAGAAAAGGAGAGUAUAGUAGUGGAUACACAUUUAGACAAUAAUAAUUCUCGUUUCCCAAAUGAUUAUACAUAUGUAGCUGAAAAUAAAUAUUUAAAGUUUCAACUUGAUACUGUAAACAGUGAAUUAGAUAUUUAUAAAAAUAAAAAUGAAUUUUUACAAAAGAAAACAAUAAAUUAUGAAGAUAUAAUUGAUAAUUUACAAAAAGAAAUAAUAAAUAUUAUUGACAAACAAAAAGAAUGUGACAAUGAAUUUUAUAAACUUGAAAAGGAGUUAGAAAAGAAAAAUGAACACAUUGAAAAUUUAUUGAAUAAAAGAAAAGAAGAUCAAGAACAUAUAGAAAAUGAAAAUAUAAUAACAGAAAAAUUAGAAAAGGAAUUUUUAGCAUUAACAGAUGAUUUAUUUAAAAAAGAUAUUCAAAUAAAAGAGUCUGAAGAAAUAAUAAAAAAAUUAAAUGAUGAUAUAAAAGAGCAAAUAAAAGAAAUUGAAAAUUUAAAAGGUUAUGUAGAAAAAGUGAAAAAUGAUUAUGAAACUGUUCAAACAAAAAAUAAAGAAUCGUAUGAUAGGAUAGCAAAAGAAAAACAAGAAAUAGCUGAAUAUGAACAAAAAAAAGAAAGUGAGCUAUUACUAGAUAAAUUACAAAAUUAUGAUACUAUAAUAUCAGAGUUAUUAAAAGAAAAAGAAACUUUAUUAAAGAAUUAUGAAACUUUAAAAAGAAUACAUGAUGAAAAAUUAAAAUUAGAAUCGGUAAUGCAUCAAGAGAUAAGUGAUUUGAGAAAAAAUAAUGAAACGAUAGCUGAAAAAAAUAAUGCAUUAAUGAAUGAAAUACAUGAUUUGGUAAAGAAAAAUGAAGAGUAUAAUAUAAAGUUGGUAGAUAUGGAUAAGGAAAAACUUGAUUUGUAUAUGAAGUAUUUAAAAAUAUCGGAAGAGUUUAAUAAUAUUGCAUCGUGUUCGAUUCGGUUAAAUGAGAAGGAAGGUGCAGUUACUGGUGAUGACGAUCGUACUAUGUUACCAGCAUCUUUAUUGGAUAAACAAAAAGAAAUAAAAGAAAAGGCCAAAAUAUUAGAAAUGAACGUAAAUAAUUUAUUAGACCUGGACAAAAUGACAACAAACGAUAAUGAACUGUUAAACAAAUCGAUUAUAUCACAAAAGAGGGGGGAAGGAGUUAAUAAUGUAGACAAUGGAUUGGAUAUACAUACACAAAAUGGUAUGAAUAAACAUACCAUACAAAAUGAAAUUGAUAAAUAUACGAUACAAAAUGAAAUUGAUGAACAUACCAUACAAAAUGAUAUCAAUAAAUUAGUAAUCGAAAACAAUGAACUGAAAAAAAAAAUCAAUAAAUUGGAAUUGAUAAAUAGUAAUAUAUUUAAUGAUAAUAAAGAGUUGGUUAAAAUUAUAUCAAAUGAAAACGAUGAGAAGGAACGAUUAAACGAGGAACGUAGACAUAGUAUUGACCAUCCUGGUAGAGGUGAUCAUUCAGAUAAUCGUCAGAGAAAAAGUUACACUAGUUUAGUUAGUCAUAGUAAUAAUAACGAACAAAAUUUAAACUUAGAAAUUGAUAAACUUCAAAAUAAAAUUGAUGAAUAUAAUAUACUUAUAAACAAACAGAAAAAUUAUUACGAAAAUUGUAACAGAAAGGCAAAAAAUUAUUUGUAUUAUCUUAAUGAUAAAAUUAAAAGGUUUAUUGAAAUAUUUAAAGAAGAUACUUUUAAUUAUAAUUAUUUUAAAUCGGAAUUGAAAAAAAUGAAAUCGAUUAAUUUGAUGGUGAUUAAAGACAAUUUUGAAUCAUUUGAAACUGUGAAGGAGGAUGAUGAUGUUAUAAGUAGCACUUAUAACGAUAAUAAUGAUAAAUAUAGUUCUAUCAGAAGACAGUCCCAUUUAUACGAUAAUGAUAUUGAUGAAGAAGAUGAUAAUACAAGUGUAAGUUCCAAAAUAAUAGUCAGUUUUUUUACUAAUUAUAAUGUUCCGAAUGGAGAAAAUGAUAUUAUUAUAAAUAAAAUUGAAUUAAGAAAAGUAUAUAAAUACAUAAUAAGAUUAAAAGAAUAUUAUCAUAAAGUUUGUUUAUUAGCAGAUAAUCGAAAUAAUAAAAUUACACAAUUAAAUGAAAUAAUAAAUAAUUAUAUUCAAGAAAAUAAAGAACAUGAAGAAGAAAAAAAUGAAUUGAAAAGGAAUAUAAAAGAAUUGAUGCAAGAAAAUUCAAUUACUGUUGAAAAAUUAUCUAAAGUACAAACAAACUUAUUAAAUACUAUAAAUGAAGAAGUUAAUAAAAAUAAUAAAUUAAUACUAGAGUUAGAAAAAUUGAAGGAAAAAUAUAAAGUAUAUAAAGAUAAUAGUAAACAAAUAGAAUCUGCAUUACAAUUGAAAUUGGAUAACGAGAGUGAUGAGUAUGGUGAUGGUAACAAUACUGUGAAUGUUUCAGAUAAUGCCGCUUUUGCCUCUGGUGGAGAAAAUGGAGAUGCCACUAUUAAUAACUUUUCCAUUAAUAACAAUGCUAAUAGUAGUAUACAAAAAGAAGAAAAAAAAAUUGUUAACAAUUUAAACCGUAUCUCUAUUUUAGUAGAAGAAUAUAAAGAAUUGGUAGAAAAGAAUUCCAAUUUAUUAGUAACAAAAAAUGAAUUAUUAUCUGAAAACGAUUUAUUAAAAAAUGUUAUAACCAACAUGGAUAAAGAAAUAGUUUCCUUAACAAGCGAAUUAAAUGAAGUUAAAACUGAAUUAACUACUAAGAAAACAAUAUUAAAAUUUUCAAAUUUGAGCAGUAUAAGAAAAUACAGCAGUGGAAAGGAAAAAGACGGAAUGGGGAGUAGCGAAAUAAAGGAUGGCGAAAUAAAAGAUAGCGAAAUAAAGGAUGGAGAAAUAGACGAUUACAAUAAUGAGACUACAAAUAAUGACAGUAAUCUUAUUAAAGAAUAUGAAGAAAUUUUACUAGUAAUUGAAAAAAAAAAAAAAAAAAAAAAAAUCGAACUACCAUCUUCUGUUAUGUAUUUAAGUGGUUUUGUAGAUACAAAUGAGGAGGAUCAGAUAGAAAAACAUAGAAAAGCAGAAACAAAAUUAAGUUCAAAUUUAAAUAACGUUUCUGAUUUUAUAUUUUAUUCUCCCAACGAUUUACUACUAAUCAAUAAGAACAUACAUGCAAUUGAUAUGUUGAACAAUGAAUAUUUAAAAAAUAAAGAAUUAGAAAGUUAUAUUCAUUCAUUAAAAAAUGAUAUGAAUCGAAUAAUAAAAGAAGAGUAUUAUGAUGAAUUAAGAGAAGUUAAAAAUAAAGUAUUACAAAAUUUGUUAGAACAGGAAAAUGAAAUAGAAAAAUAUAAAAUUGUUUUAAAUAAAAUGUCUAGACAACUCCAAGAUAAAGAAGAAAUAAUAAAUGACUUGAAACGGGUCUAUAAUGAGAAAAUUAAAAAAACAGUAGAUAUGAGUAACGGAUUUAGAGGGAAACUAAAUGAUGAAUCUUUAUUAUUAUUGUCAGGGGAGGAAAAAGACAGUUAUAACGAUAAUAACAACAACCAUGUUAAUGAUAAUAUUAUGCAUUUACAAAACGAAAAAGUUUUAUUAAAACUAAAAAACAAUUAUGAAGAACUUUUAAACAAAUAUAACAAUUGUUUAAACGAUUUGGAAGAAAGAAAAAGUGAACUGGAAUUAGUAAAAAAUGAAAUGGAUAAAAUAAAAAAAUUAAAAGAUAUUGAAUUAAAAGAUAAAGAAUUUAUUAUUAAAAAAUUAGAAUUAAUUAAUGUACAACUAAAAGAUAAAGAAGAUGAAAUAAAAAAAUAUUAUAAUAAAGAAUUAGAAAUAAAAGAAAAUAUGAUAAAAAAUAAAGAAGAAACAUUGGAAGAAUUAACUAAAGAUAUGACUAUGUUAAAAACAGAAGAAAACCGAAAACGUAAUUAUAUAAAUGAAUUAGAAUUACAAGUUUCAAAUUUACAUAAUGAAAUUAAUAUAUUAAAUGAUAUUUUAAAAGAUUCUAAAGAACAGAUUAAUAUUAUGAGUAAAAUUGUAGAGGAUAAGGAGCAAGAAAUAUUUGAAUUGGUAGACAAGGUAAAUGAGUAUGAUAAUUUGUUGGAUAAUGCAGAUGGUAGUAGUUGUAGAAAGGAUGGAAAUAAACAGCACUCGAGUGGAAAACGCAUGAGUGAGCAACGGUUGAGUGAGCAACGGUUGAGUGAGCAACGGUCGAGUAAGCAACGGUCGAGUGAGCAACGGUCGAGUGAGCAAAAGUUAAGUGAUCAGUCACCAAUGGGAAGCACUCCAAAAGAAUAUGACACAAACAGCACACACGAACUGAAUGAGCUAAAAUCAAGUAAUUUGUUGGAUAGCAACAUGCACUUUCAACAGUUAAGUGAGUUAAGACAAAACUUAAAAGAUUCGUUUGAAAAUUACAAUCAAUUAAAAUUUGAUAGUAUACAAAAGAUUGAAGAGUAUAAAGAAGAAGCUAAUAAUUUAAAAAUUUUUAUAAAACAAAUUGAAAAUGAAAAUGUAAAAAAAGAUGAAAAAUAUGAAUUAAUUGAAUUAGCUAUAAAAGAAAUGGAUAAAGAAAUAAUAAUACUAAAAGAAGAAAUAAAUCAAAAAGAAAUGUAUAUAACUGAACUAAAAAAAGCUAUAGAUAUAAAUAAAAAAGAUAUAGAAUAUAUAAAGGAUGAUAUAACAUUAGUGGAACAUGUAGUUACAACUUAUAUACAAUCAAAUACAAUUAAUUUAAAUGAACUAACACACAGAUUAGCGACUGAAACAAAAACAACUUAUUUGUUGUUUAUUAAAGAUUUUA